rnacentral:lncRNA from 1 species
GUAGGUUCAUUUUGGAAUAGGGUUGCAUCUAGAUGGGAUCUAUCGACCUUGAUAGAUUAGGAGUGAUCCUAUGUGAUUUAUGAGACUGAGUUCGAUAAAUUCCUGGCCAGGUAUUUUGGAAAAAGAGUUUUCCAUAUCUCGAACUGGAAGUCGUAUAAAUUUAACAUAUGACGGACGAUGGGGUUUGACGAGAUAUCCAUAACCUCCGUCACGUCGGGAUCCAUGAUAGAGGAACUGUAUCAUAU